GACGUAGGUUGCGAGCGUUAUUCGGAUUCACUAGGCGUAAAGCGUGUGUAGGUGGAUGCCUAAGUCUGACGUGAAAUCUCCUGGCUCAACUGGGAGGGGUCGUUAGAUACUGGGCGUCUUGAGUUGGGUAGGGGGAACCGGAAUUCCCGGUGUAGCGGUGAAAUGCGCAGAUAUCGGGAGGAACACCAAUGGCGAAGGCAGCUCGCUGGGACGUGACUGACGCUGAGACGCGAAAGCGUGGGGAGCAAACAGG
rnacentral:rRNA from 1 species